rnacentral:rRNA from 1 species
CCUACGGGAGGCAGCAGUGAGGAAUAUUGGUCAAUGGACGAGAGUCUGAACCAGCCAAGUAGCGUGAAGGAUGACUGCCCUAUGGGUUGUAAACUUCUUUUAUAUGGGAAUAAAAUGUUCCACGUGUGGGAUUUUGUAUGUACCAUAUGAAAAAGGAUCGGCUAACUCCGUGCCAGCAGCCGCGGUAAUACGGAGGAUGCGAGCGUUAUCCGGAUUUAUUGGGUUUAAAGGGAGCGUAGGUGGAUUGUUAAGUCAGUUGUGAAAGUUUGCGGCUCAACCGUAAAAUUGCAGUUGAAACUGGCAGUCUUGAGUACAGUAGAGGUGGGCGGAAUUCGUGGUGUAGCGGUGAAAUGCUUAGAUAUCACGAAGAACUCCGAUUGCGAAGGCAGUUCACUGGACUGCAACUGACACUGAGGCUCGAAAGUGUGGGUAUCAAACAGGAUUAGAUACCCUAGUAGUC